GCCCUGCAGUCACCUGGUCUCUGCUCACCUGGACCUCAUUCUACAAUCAACCUGGACUCACUGGAGUGUUGAGUUUUUCUAGUGUCCCUGAUUUCCUGUGUGUGUUUUUGCCUUCUGGUGCUCCUGCCAUCUUUCUCACCUGCUUAACGGUGUGUUUGAUAACAUGGCAGCCGGUCUGAUCUACUGGGUAAACUGCCAGUUGGUGGGUGGAGGAGAAACGAUGGCGACAAAUGGCUUCUACCUUCCACCCCACAGCUCUGGAAAUGCUGAGAUCUUAAAGGAGUUUAGUAUUCAGCGGUGAUUGACUGAGCUGCCUUGAGGAGACGCUGGUCGUACUCUGAGGACUGAUGAGACAUCAGCUGCAGAAAGACGCUCGGCAAGAUUUGUCCUGCCCGCCUGCUGAUGGCAAGAGAUAUUCUGUCAUUCUGGCAUGUGCCACUGGAUCUUUGUGGAGGGUCCUAUUCAACUGCGCGGUCCUCCUCCUCCAGACGCCCCCAGUCCACGCAACAGAACAAUGUCCAUCGGAGCGUCUGAAUGCCAGUGGAACGCUUAGCUAACUGGACUUCAAGAGAGCCAGGUCUGGCAUCCCAUGCAAGCGGUGCACAGAGGUUGUACAUGUAUUUUUAACCCUCGACUUCUGCGCCAAAGGGAUCAGAGAGUGAGGAAACCACUGCCAGGAACAGAUGUGUCAUGUCUCCACUGCUUAUAUAAUAAUGGAUUUUAGUUUAAUAUUCAGGAGCACUCAAGAGUGGCUGUUGUUUAGUUAGUCUUCCACAGUGGUGGCAGAAGUAUUUCUACUUUUACUUCAACAAAAGUACCCAUACAGCAAUGUAAAAUACUCCACUAGAAGUAAAAGUAUUAUCAGUAAAAUGUGCUUAAAGUAUCACAAGUUACUCUUUCUGCAGAAAAUGACCCCAGUUAGAGACUUAAUACUG